rnacentral:rRNA from 1 species
GCAGUCGANCGGUAACAGAGGAAAGGCUUGCCUUUUCUGCUGACGAGUGGCGGACGGGUGAGUAAAGUAUGGGGAUCUGCCGAAUGGAGGGGGACAACUGCUGGAAACGGCAGCUAAUACCGCAUAAAGUUGAGAGACCAAAGCGUGGGACUUUUUAGCCACGCGCCAUUUGAUGAACCCAUAUGGGAUUAGCUUGUUGGUAGGGUAAUGGCUUACCAAGGCGACGAUCUCUAGCUGGUCUGAGAGGAUGACCAGCCACACUGGAACUGAGACACGGUCCAGACUCCUAUGGGAGGCAGCAGUGGGGGAUAUUGCACAAUGGGGGAAACCCUGAUGCAGCCAUGCCGCGUGUAUGAAGAAGGCUUUCGGGUUGUAAAGUACUUUCGGUAAUGAGGAAGGUGUAUUAUCUAACAGGUAAUGCAAUUGACGUUAGUUACAGAAGAAGCACCGGCUAACUCCGUGCCAGCAGCCGCGGUAAUACGGAGGGUGCGAGCGUUAAUCGGAAUAACUGGGCGUAAAGGGCAUGCAGGCGGGUCAUUAAGUUAGGUGUGAAAUCCCCGGGCUCAACCUGGGAACUGCACUUAAAACUGGUGGUCUGGAGUAUUGUAGAGGAAGGUAGAAUUCCACGUGUAGCGGUGAAAUGCGUAGAGAUGUGGAGGAAUACCGGUGGCGAAGGCGGCCUUCUGGACAAAUACUGACGCUGAGAUGCGAAAGCGUGGGGAGCAAACAGGAUUAGAUACCCUGGUAGUCCACGCUGUAAACGAUGUCGAUUUGGAGUUUGGUGGCAUGACUGCUGGGCUUCGAAGCUAACGCGUUAAAUCGACCGCCUGGGGAGUACGGCCGCAAGGUUAAAACUCAAAUGAAUUGACGGGGGCCCGCACAAGCGGUGGAGCAUGUGGUUUAAUUCGAUGCAACGCGAAGAACCUUACCUGGUCUUGACAUCCACAGAAUUCUGUAGAGAUACGGGAGUGCCUUAGGGAGCUGUGAGACAGGUGCUGCAUGGCUGUCGUCAGCUCGUGUUGUGAAAUGUUGGGUUAANGUCCCCGCAACGAGCGCAACC